rnacentral:ncRNA from 1 species
CUGAAGUCGUACCGUAAGGAGCGGUGGACUGAUUACGAGUGAGAAUGUUGGCAUUAGUAGCGAGAUGUAGGUGAGAAUCCUACAGGCCGAAUAUCUAAGGUUUCCUGAGUAAAGUUUGUCUUCUCAGGGUUAGUCGGGACCUAAGGCGAGGCCGAGAGGCGUAGUCGAUGGACAAUUGGUUGAUAUUCCAAUACCACUAUAAUCGUUAUUAUCGAUGGUGUGACGGAGAAGGAUAGGAUGUGCCAGCUAUUGGAUGCUGGUCUAAGCGUUGAGGGAGUUAGAACAGGCAAAUCCGUUCUAACAAUCCUAGGGCGUGAUGGGGAAGGUUCCACGGAACCGAAGUAUCUGAUUUCAUGCUUCCAAGAAAAGCAUCUAGAAAGAGAAGUAGUGCCCGUACCGCAAACCGACACAGGUAGAUGAGGAGAGAAUCCUAAGGCCGACGGAAGAAUCACAGUUAAGGAACUAGGCAAAUUGACCCCGUAACUUCGGGAGAAGGGGUGCCUACCAAAUGGUAGGCCGCAGAGAAUAGGCACAAGCAACUGUUUAACAAAAACACAGGUCUCUGCUAAAGCGUAAGCUGAUGUAUAGGGGCUGACGCCUGCCCGGUGCUGGAAGGUUAAGGGGAACACUUAGCGCAAGCGAAGGUGUGAACUUAAGCCCCAGUAAACGGCGGCCGUAACUAUAACGGUCCUAAGGUAGCGAAAUUCCUUGUCAGGUAAGUUCUGACCCGCACGAAUGGCGUAAUGACUUGUGCACUGUCUCAACUGUGAAUCCGGCGAAGUUGUAGUGCGAGUGAAGAUGCUCGCUACCCGCGAUUGGACGGAAAGACCCCGUAGAGCUUUACUGUAGCUUAGCAUUGAAUUUCGGUAUUGUCUGUACAGGAUAGGUGGGAGACUGGGAAAUUAGGGCGUCAGCCUUAAUGGAGUCGUUGUUGGGAUACCACCCUGAUAGUAUUGAAGUUCUAACUGGAUGCCAUGAAACUGGUGACAGGACAUUGUUAGGUGGGCAGUUUGACUGGGGCGGUCGCCUCCUAAAAUGUAACGGAGGCGCCCAAAGGUUCCCUCAGAACGGUCGGAAAUCGUUCGUAGAGUGUAAAGGCAUAAGGGAGCCUGACUGCGAGACCUACAAGUCGAGCAGGGACGAAAGUCGGGCUUAGUGAUCCGGUGGUACCUCGUGGGAGGGCCAUCGCUCAACGGAUAAAAGCUACCUCGGGGAUAACAGGCUGAUCUCCCCCAAGAGUUCACAUCGACGGGGAGGUUUGGCACCUCGAUGUCGGCUCGUCGCAUCCUGGGGCUGAAGUAGGUCCCAAGGGUUGGGCUGUUCGCCCAUUAAAGCGGCACGCGAGCUGGGUUCAGAACGUCGUGAGACAGUUCGGUCCCUAUCCGUCGCGGGCGUAGGAAAUUUGAGAGGAGCUGUCCUUAGUACGAGAGGACCGGGAUGGACUGACCUAUGGUGUACCAGUUGUUUCGCCAGAAGCAUAGCUGGGUAGCUAAGUCGGGAAGGGAUAAACGCUGAAAGCAUCUAAGUGUGAAGCCCACCUCAAGAUGAGAUUUCCCAUAGCAUAAGCUAGUAAGACCCCUUGAAGACUACAAGGUUGAUAGGUCAGAGGUGUAAGUGCGGUAACGUAUUUAGCUGACUGAUACUAAUAGGUCGAGGGCUUGACCAA